AUUGAACGCUGGCGGCAUGCCUUACACAUGCAAGUCGAACGGUAACAGGUUAAGCUGACGAGUGGCGAACGGGUGAGUAAUAUAUCGGAACGUGCCCAGUCGUGGGGGAUAACGUAGCGAAAGCUACGCUAAUACCGCAUACGAUCUACGGAUGAAAGCGGGGGAUCGCAAGACCUCGCGCGAUUGAAGCGGCCGAUAUCAGAUUAGGUUGUUGGUGAGGUAAAAACUCACCAAGCCUGCGAUCUGUAGCUGGUCUGAGAGGACGAUCCGCCACACUGGGACUGAGACACGGCCCAGACGCCUACGGGAGGCAGCAGUGGGGAAUAUUGGACAAUGGGGGGAACCCUGAUCCAGCCAGGCCGCGUGUGUGAAGAAGGCCUUAUGGUUGUAAAGCACUUUAAGCGAGGAGGAGGCUCUUUUGGUUAAUACCCAAGAUGAGUGGACGUUACUCGCAGAAUAAGCACCGGCUAACUCUGUGCCAGCCGCCGCGGUAA
rnacentral:rRNA from 1 species